AUGACUGACAGACUCCCCUCUAGGAGAGAACGUGGCACAGCAAGUGCUCAUGGGCUGGGAGGACUCAUGACAACUCCACUUUUGUCUCCUGAAAGGUCUCUUUGCAACUGGAGCAUCUUUUGGCCUUUGGUUUGCUCUAUUUCUCUUGCUGAGAGGAGCAUGGGGGGAGGCAGGGAAACAAAGGUGUUCAGCCAGGGAACUUACUCAGAGCGAGGGUGAGGGAGGAGAGGUUCUGGUUGUUUUAAGUAAGAUUUGCAAUGGAUAAGGCAAGAGCUCCGAACCAUUGCUUUGUUUGUAUUGCUAGAGGCAGAGAAACUGACACAAAGGCAAAAGGAUGCAGCCAACUCCUGGAUCCUCAUGGACAAGUCUGAACUGCCUCCACUAUUUGCAGGAAAAGAGGUGCAGCUCAAAUAGUCUGACAGAUCACAACCAAGAGAGGAGGUUUCCAGCAAGAAGUGAGGCAAAAUUCCUGUUUGUAGGCAAAACAUUUCCAGAGCUUAGAUGGAGUUGGCAGUGACAUUAAUUACUGAUUACACAAGUACCAUGAUUCAUUUACAGAGGUGUAUGUUUAGGUUCUAUGUUACACUGUUACUUGUAGGUGGAUCUCUGUUUAAUAUCAGAAACAAUUCAAUAAGGAAUCUAUACAGAUCCCUGAUAAUAGUGUUAACUGAAAUUAUGUGUUGAGAGAAUUUGGGAAAGUAGUUGUCAUGGAGCUGCACAAAGAGGAUGCUCUCAGUCUUUGGAGAAGUCCCACUUAUCCCUGGUCUACACUACAGUGUUAGGUCAAAUUUAGCCGCAUUAGGUGGAUUUUAUAAUGAAUGCAUCUACACAAGAAACCCCGUUCCUUUGACCUAAAGGGCUCUUAAAAUUGACUUCUGUACUCCUCCCUGGCGAGUAGCACUGAAAUCGACCUUGCUGGGUCGAAUUUGGGGUAAUGUGGACGCAAAUCGACGGUACUGGCCUCCGGAAGCUAUCCCAGAGUGCUCCAAUGUGACCGCUCUGGACAGCACUUUCAACUCCGAUGCACUAGCCAGGAACACAGGAAAAGCCUCGGAAACUUUUGAAUUUAAUUUCCUGUUUGGUCAGCGUGGUGAGCUCAGUAGCACAGGUGACCAUGCAGUCCCCCCAGAAUCGCAAAUGAGUUCCAGCAUGGAGCGAACAGGAGACACUGGAUCUAAUUGCUGUAUGGAGAGAAGAAUCUGUGCAGGCAGAACUCCGA
rnacentral:lncRNA from 1 species